UUCUUGUCAGACCCCUGGACAGAAGGGCAGAGAUGUUCACAUGAAGGAGUGGUCUGCUGGAGGCCCAUAUGAGAAGCCUGGAAAAGCUCCGGCUGCUUCCCUGACGCUGCUGGUCACAGUCAGGGUGUCGGUGCACAGAGAGGAGGACACGGGCAGAUCUGCACCUGUGUCCGUCCACCACUUUCCUGCUUCCACAUUAGUCAGCCAAUUCAUGACCGCUAAGUCAUCUCUGUGGAUUGGAAGGACAGAUAAUGGGAUCUACCAGGCUGCUGCUGCUGCUGCUGCUACUUGGCAUGUGAUCAAACUGGGAGUAAAAGCCAAUGUUGGGAUGUUAUGGUGUAAGCCACAGCGGUUUCAAGGGCCUCAGAUAUCACUUCCUCCCACGCUGCACUGUAGACAACCACUGGAAAGACAUGCAGGGCCAAUGACAUUUGAUUGCAGGCUCCUCCACAGGCCUCUGUGACCUGUGGCUACCCAUAACACCCUUCUCUGCAUUGAUAGGUUUGUCAAAAUCACACAAAUACUCUGGCACCACUGAGUAGUACAAGGGGAGAAAAAGCUGAGCCUGAAUCUGAUUAAGUCUCUCAGCUGCAUGUGGAUAAAAGAGCUGCUGCCACCGGAGGAUAUUUCGACAUGAAAAAGAUCAAUUGAUACGUGUGUGUGCAACGUCCAGCAUUAAAAUGGACAGACCUUUCCAGCGAGAAUGAGCCUGUUGUGGCUCUGUCCUUUCCUGUAGUGUCUGCUAGAGAAAUUUGGGGCUGUUUGAGGCCCUGCUGUGUGCUCUUCAUGGCAGGGUUAUAGGUAAACCUCAGACAAACUGUCAGGACUGCAGCAACGGUGCCAGGCCCAGCCAUGUUCAGACCUCCUGACUGACAUCUGGUGCUGAAGUAUGAGUUAAGGAGUUGAAGGCAUUGGGCUUCGGAGUGUAUGUCUGUCAUGUAGAAGCUCUCAAGGGACGUCAAGUGGCUCCACGGCUUCUGUCUACCUCAAUGAAGAGUCUGCAAGUAACCAUGUGGAUCAAUGUUGUGGCUCCUCAUUAAAACCAGAGGAUGCUGCAAACUUCAUCAAUAUGGCAAGACUCAAAUGCAGAUUUCAUUUUGAGCCGAAGAACCAGUUCAUCUGCUGACGGGAAACAACGGUCACAUUUAGAUGUCUAACCUUCAGAUAAUUCCCAGUUUUUUGUGAUUUGCCAAGUUGUACAUCAGCAGAAAAGUCUAAAUUUUUUUUAAUGGUGAAGAUGGAAGAGUUUUUGAGUUUUAAUUGCAGUAAUAUUUGUUAAAAUCAUCUGUACGAGGGAUUGACGAGAAAUGUUAAAAUAAACAUCCUAAAUACA